rnacentral:rRNA from 1 species
UACGUAGGGUGCAAGCGUUAAUCGGAAUUACUGGGCGUAAAGCGUGCGCAGGCGGUUUUGUAAGUCUGACGUGAAAUCCCCGGGCUUAACCUGGGAAUUGCGUUGGAGACUGCAAGGCUAGAAUCUGGCAGAGGGGGGUAGAAUUCCACGUGUAGCAGUGAAAUGCGUAGAGAUGUGGAGGAACACCGAUGGCGAAGGCAGCCCCCUGGGCUAACACUGACGCUCAUGCACGAAAGCGUGGGGAGCAAACAGG